UACGAAGGGGGCUAGCGUUGCUCGGAAUCACUGGGCGUAAAGCGCACGUAGGCGGAUUGUUAAGUCAGGGGUGAAAUCCUGGAGCUCAACUCCAGAACUGCCUUUGAUACUGGCGAUCUUGAGUCCGGGAGAGGUGAGUGGUAAACUGCGAGUGUAGAGGUGAAAUUCGUAGAUAUUCGCAAGAACACCAGUGGCGAAGGCGGCUCACUGGCCCGGUACUGACGCUGAGGUGCGAAAGCGUGGGGAGCAAACAGG
rnacentral:rRNA from 1 species